rnacentral:tRNA from 1 species
GGUCGGAGAAUGGCUCAGCGGUUAAGAGCAUUGACUGCUGUUCCAGAAGUCCUGAGUUCAAUUCCCAGCAACCA